rnacentral:rRNA from 1 species
GCUAAACGCGAAGAACCUUACCCACCUUUGACACGGCAGGAAUCCUUCAGAGAUGGAGGAGUGCUCGAAAGAGAACCUGCACACAGGUGCUGCAUGGCUGUCGUCAGCUCGUGUCGUGAGAUGUUGGGUUAAGUCCCGCAACGAGCGCAACCCUUGCCAUCAGUUGCUACGAAAGGGCACUCUGAUGGGACUGCCGGUGACAAACCGGAGGAAGGUGGGGAUGACGUCAAGUCCUCAUGGCCCUUAUAGGUGGGGCUACACACGUCAUACAAUGGCCGGUACAAAGGGCAGCGAAGCCGCGAGGUGAAGCCAAUCCCAUAAAAGCCGGUCGUAGUCCGGAUCGCAGUCUGCAACUCGACUGCGCGAAGUCGGAAUCGCCAGUAAUCGUGGAUCA